rnacentral:misc_RNA from 1 species
UGUAUGUGUGUGUGUGUGUGUGUGUGAGCGCAAGCAGGCACCCUCGUCAUGCCCAGCCUGCUGUGAGCCCUACAACGAUAACAGCCGCCUGCCUCUCACUGCCUCCUGCGGCCAUACCACCUGUACAGCCUGCCUCAGAGCCGCCACCCUCGCAGCACACCCUGACGCGCCGCCGGGCAGGGAGGGAACUGUGCCGUCUGGGAGAAAGGUUGAGUGUCAAGUGUGUGAGAAGAAGGUGUCCACGGAUCAGCUGGUUAUUAAUAGAGCAGUGUUGGCCAAGGUACCACUCACCCUGGAGGACCUCAUCAUCCCGGAGGACACGAAGAACGACCCUGGAACCACCAAACACGACCCUGGCAUGCUUGACACCACCACCUCUACAGACCACCACGUACACACCACCACCACCACACUAGAAACACCACAGCACCACACAGAGACACAACUAGGCUGGACACACCCUAAGAUGGACCCACACCACCACGACCACACCACCACGACCCACACCAUCACCCCCCCCAACAGCCCGGGGUGAUUGGAUGGGCCACGGCUCCUCAAUACCCUCAUGGAUAUCCAAGUCACUCACACCACCCCCCACCACCACAACCCAUGCCUUUACCUCCACAUGGCUACCCACACCAACACCACCCACACCCGCAACACCACGGGCACUCCUCCCACGUACCAGUAGUAGCAGGAGCAGCAGUAGCAGGCGCAGCAGUAGGGGUGGCAGGCAUGUCCCUUCACCACCACAA